AUCCAAAGAGGUGGCCGAAAGAUAGGUCAGUUUCGGGAGGAGAGGUGUCCUGAUACCCUCCUCUUGAAAGAGUUUAAGUCGUAGGCAGGAGGAAAUACAGAGGAAGGAAGAUUGUUCCAGAGUUUACCAGCGUGAGGGAUGAAAGAGUGAAGAUGCUGGUUAACUCUUGCAUAAGGGGUUUGGACAGUAUAGGGAUGAGCAUGAGUAGAAAGUCGAGUGCAGCGGGGCCGCGGGAGGGUGGGAUGCAUGCAGUUAGCAAGUUCAGAAGAGCAGUCAGCGUGGAAAUAUCGAUAGAAGAUAGAAAGAGAGGCAACAUUGCGGCGGAAUUUAAGAGGUAGAAGACUAUCAGUAUGAGGAGGAGAGCUGAUGAGACGAAGAGCCUUAGCCUCCACUCUGUCCAAAAGAGCUGUGUGAGUGGAGCCCCCCCACACAUGAGAUGCAUACUCCAUACGAGGGCGGACAAGGCCCCUGUAUAUGGACAGCAACUGUGCAGGGGAGAAGAACUGGCGGAGACGGUACAGAACGCCCAGCCUCGAGGAAGCUGAUUUAGUAAGAGAUGAGAUAAUUAUGAAGUUUCCAGUUAAGAUUUUGAGUUAAGGAUAGACCGAGGAUGUUUAGUGUUGAGGAAGGUGAUAGCUGGGUGUUGUCAAAGAAUAGGGGAUAGUUGUUUGGAAGAUUGUGUCGAGUGGAUAGGUGGAGAAACUGUGUUUUUGAGGCGUUGAAGGACACCAGGUUCUUCUUGCCCCAAUCGGAAAUAAUAGUAAGGUCUGAGGCUAAGCGUUCUGCAGCCUCCAGCCUUGAGUCGUUAAGUUCCUGUAGGGUGGGUCUUCUAUUAAAAGAAGUUGAGUAAUGCAGAGUGGAAUCAUCGGCGUAGGAAUGGAUAGGACAGUUCGUUUUGGAAAGAAGAUCAUCAAUGAACAACAGAAAAAGAGUGGGAGAUAAGACAGAACCCAGUGGGACACCACUGUUAAUAGAUUUAGGGGAAGAACAGUGACCGUCUACCACGGCAGAAAUAGAACGGUCAGAAAGGAAACUGGAGAUAAAGGUACAGAGAGAAGGAUAGAAACCGUAGGAGGGUAGUUUGGAAAGCAAAGAUUUGUGCCAGACCCUAUCAAAAGCUUUUGAUAUGUCCAGCGCAAUAGCAAAAGUUUCACCGAAACGGCUAAGAGAGGAUGACCAAGAGACAGUUAAGAAGGCUAGGAGAUCACCAGUAGAACGCCCCUUGCGGAACCCAUACUGGCGAUCAGAUAGAAGGUCAGAAGUGGAAAGGUGCUUUUGAAUCUUCCGGUUAAAGAUUGAUUCAAAAGCUUUAGAGAGACAAGAAAGUAAAGCUAUAGGACGGUAGUUUGAGGGAUUGGAGCGGUCACCCUUCUUAGGCACAGGCUGUAUGAAGGCAUACUUCCAGCAAGAAGGAAAGGUAGAUGUUGACAGGCAGAGGCGAAAGAGUUUUACCAGGCAGGGUGACAGCACGGAGGCACAGUUUUUAAGGACAAUAGGAGGCACUCCAUCAGGUCCAUAAGCCUUCUGAGGAUUGAGGCCAGAGAGGGCAUAGAAAACAUCAUUUUGAAGAAUCUUUCAAACAGGCAUAAAGGAGUCAGAGGGGGGAUGAGUAGGAGGAAUAUGCCCAGAAUCGUCCAGAGUGGAGUUUUUAGAAAAAGUUUGAGAGAAGAGUUCAGCCUUAGAGAUAGAUGAGACGGCAGUGUUGCCGUCAGGACUGAGGAGUGGAGGGAAAGAUGAAGAAGUGAAGUUGGAGGAGAUGUUUUUGGCUAGAUGCCAGAAGUCACGGGAAGAGUUAGAGAAAGCAAGGUUUUGGCAUUUUCUAUUAAUGAAAGAAUUUUUGGUUAGUCGGAGAAUAGAUUUGGCACGAUUUCGGGGAGAAAUGUAAAGUUCAUAAUUAUAAUUAUUUUUGGCCGCAAAUAUCCACAGAGACAAAUGUUACCUCAAAUUUAAGCUCAGAUUUGGAAUCCUUGAUGUCAUAAACCCAUGAAAAGAGCUUUCAUUUAAGUCUCUACGACUUUUGGGUGUAAAGAUAUGCAGAAGUCCAUUUUCCGGUGGCGGCCAUCUUGGAUCGUCCAAUAUGGCGGCCCCAUUGAGCGGCGGCCUUGGCUCCCGGCGGAAAUUGAUAGAGGGGGUAAAGUUCUACCUGUGUACCAAAUUUCAUGCUUUUGGAAGAAUCUGCACAAUUCUUCCCCUAAGGCCCCGGACUAUACUUACUAUCUAUCCUUUAGGUGGUGAUCGUGUGCACGGAGCUCUACCUGCUGGCUCAGGGGGUCGGGUCCGGCCUGCUGCUGACGGAGGAGGUGGUGGUGCUGGUCCUGCUGACGCUCCAGACCACGUGGCUGCUGGUACACGUGUCCCUGGCGGCGGCGGGAGUGCAGGAGCAGGGCCCGUAUCCUUGACAACUAUUAAUACUAAACUUGGUAUUAACUUUCGACUUUGGUAUUAACUUCACUCUCAAAGUGUAUCCUCAACAACUAUUAGCCUAAUACCUACUCUUAACUUUGGUAUUAACUUGAGAGUGCUGGCGAGGACUUCUAAACACUUAAUAGUAAAGUUAAUAGUGAAACCCAGACCCAGACCCAUAUCAACAUGGCCCCCGGACUUCCUCGUCCAGCCCGCCUCCGCAAUUUAGAGUUUGAUAGGGCGCUUUGGAACUGUAUAACGAUGGUGAACUUGUCAAGACAUACAUAUUAGACCGUGCAGGAAUGGAGUAUGUGACUGAUUUGGUGAGAAGAGAGCUACAAGAUCCAGUUCAAAGGGAGCAUUCCCGCACCCCGGGGUUGAAAGUGAUUUUGACUUAAAGGUACUUGGCUACAGGAAAAAUGCUGCAGUGUUCAAGUGAUGAGUUAGGGGGUAAGCCAGAGUAGUGUAAGCAGGGUGAUUGUGGAAACUCUGGCCGCCCUCAGUGACCCGUAGAUAGUCGGGAGGUUUAUCCAGUCUCCCCUUGAUAGGGUGGAGAUCCGUGUAAAGCAAGCAGAAUUCUACCAACUUGCCGGUGUUGUGGGAGUGAUAGACUGUACCCAUGUGAAAAUAAUGGCACCAAAGGAAAACGAUGUAGUUUAUGUCAACAGAAAAAAAAAUAAACAUAGCUUGAACAUACAAUUAGUGUUUGAUGCCUUUGUUAUUGAUUAAAAUGUGAAAUAUUCGAGUUAAGGAAAACAAAACAUGGGAAAAAAAACUUUUAUUUGUAGCAGAAAGGUACACACAUGCAAAUGAAAAAGAUGACAUUAAAAUUGCAUUAAAAUGUCAUUUAGAAUAUGAUUUAUAAUUAUUGCUGCCGGUUAUUCAUAUUGAGAUAAUGGUGGUAAGAAAGCUUGUUAGAGACGUCUGCCAGUGUGAGGGAGGAGGAACGAAAGGUCGAGGUGACCACAUCGCGAACAUCAUGACUUAUGAGUGAAGUAAAACGAGGUUACUUGGUUUCUGUUUACAAAGUUCCAAGUGGAAAAACAACUUUAUAGUGAAUUCAGUGUAUACUUUUCUGGAGUAUUGUGUUUACUGAGUGAAUUGGUGACCAAUCUGUUGCUAUUUGUGUCUUGCUUGAAGAUGUUCAUCAUUGGAUUCAAAGCUAUGGUAUUAAUGUGCAAUAGUCAUCAUAACAAAAUACGUAGUAAUUAAUUAUAUAUGUCAACCUAUUUAUUUUCAUGAGAUCAUGGUAUGACCACUGAAAAACAUAGCUUUUUUAUCUUGGCUCCAUUACAAAUUCAGUAUAUAAUUACUCUAUUAGUGGAAUCUAGUUUUCAGCAUCUUUUAUUAUUAUGCCAAUAUUCUAAGCACUCAGCUUGCAAACAUGCUUAGGUUUAUGUUGUCAGUUUGGGUCGGACUUAUGUGAACACUUUACCAAGUGACCUAAGAUUACUCAAUGCUCGCAAAGCUAUGGUAUUAAUGUGCAAUGGUCAUCAUACCAAAAUACGUAGUAAUUAAUUAUAUAUGUCAACCUAAUUAUUUUCAUGAGAUCAUGGUAUGACCGCUGAAAACAUAGCUUUUUUUAUCUUAGCUCCAUUACAAAUUCAGUAUAUAAUUAUUCAUAUAUUCAAUAAAGUAGUGGAAUCCAG